GCUUUCGAUCCAGAUGUGCAACUCUCAGCUACCUCUCCAGCACUAUGUCUGCCUACAUGCCACCAUGACGAUAAUGGAGCCCCAGAACAAGUGGUCGAAUUGAGACAACAAAAGCUGGUAAACUGGUGCUGCCCCUGAAGCCCUGCGCCUGCAGCUGGAGUCUGGCGCUGCGGGAGGAGCCAGGCCUCCUGCCUGGCUUGAUGUGUACAAGCUGGCAGCAAGCCAGCGGCACCGGAGUUUCUCAGCUUCUUUGGGAAUCAAAAGGUCAUUUGGAUCCACCUGCCACAGAUCGAAUGAACUUCAGAUAAGUAUACCUACUUAUUCUUGAAAAUAGGAUUUUUCCCUUGGUCUUGAGAUUUCUCACCUUCGCCAAUUACUAGACAAUGUUAACCUCUGUCCCUAGUCUAUAUUUAUCUCAGUAGGUUUUCACCUGGCUAACUGACUCCAUCCAGGGAUCACCUAUGGAGCUGCUGAGUCUGGACUUGCUGAAAGCUGGUGUUAACCAGUCCAUUGGAUGCGAUGACUCCCUGGCUUUCAGCUGAUGCUUCUGAUAAAUGCUCCACUGUCCAGCCUUUGACUAACACUUCAGUCUCCCAGGGUCCCUAAUACAACAUCCUAAUGUCAGCAGGAAGAAGUUACAGAAGAAAAAUAUGACAUCCAUUGUCCCACCUUAAAGGCUGAAAUGCUAGGUCAAAAAGGAAUGCCCCUGGGCCUGUGCUGAAAAGGACCCUGCUUUGUGAUUCUGAGCAUCCUGAUGGCCGUGAAGAUAGAUGGGAUCCAAUCCUGGACUGUCAUCUGAAGUUCGCAUCGGGAAACAUCAGGACUGGACCAGUGAUUAGACAUCAGUCAACACCCACAGGCCCCGUUAAAAAUCAACCUGGUAAAACACUCUGGAGACUAGUUCCUAUUUUGUGUUUCCUUGAGCUGCUGAGGCACAGACUCCAGUACAACACACAUGGACUUUGAUUAGCACCACAGGCAGGAGCCUAAUUACUAGUAUUACUGCCUAUGGUUCCCCCACCCUCAAUUUUGACCAAUGUAAAUUGUUUGGGCCAAAAUGGAAUAGGCACCCAAAGACUGCAAACAUUCUCUAGGUUCCCUCAUUCACUAGGUCUUUUUGGAUACGGGAUCCAGAGUAUGGAAACAGUUUAGCUACUCUUCAGAUAUAUGCCUGUCCCUCAAAUGGAGACCCUGAUUAUGGGGGACAAGAUAUAUACUUCUGUGCAGUAUGGGACUAUGAAACCUUAGCAACUGGGUAAUCGAUGAGGAUAAUUAUAUUCUGUUACAGAAGGUUGAGAACCACUCUGAAAAACUGGAAAAAAAAAUCAACCCCAUUCAAAUUAAGAAAAAAAAAUGAUAUAAAUAAUGUAUGGGGCACAGGGAAGACUUGGGGAUUCCACCUUUAUGUGUCUGAUAAGGAACCUGGGAUGAUGUUCUCCAUCCAGAGAUUCCAGGCCACCAAUAACAGGGUCUUAGACAUUACUGGUCCCAACAAAGUGUUAAACCCUCUCCCUGACCUAGGAAGAACAGCCUCAAAGCAAGAGCUAACUGCCCGGCAAUCUGUUUCUGCCACUACAUGACUGAUGGGCCUCUCCACAAACCUGUUUAUCUCUCCCUUGACUCCACAAGUCCCCCUUAGACACAGAAGAUACUUAUCAGUUCUUUAGUUCCACAAUUUCUGACCUAAUUUCUGAUUGCUGGCCAUAGCUGGAUCCAAGACCUCCAUACUGUGUAGAAAUUGCAACUACCCUAACCCUAAUCUCUGGGAGCACAAGCUCCUAACUAUAGAGGAAUGGGUGCACAAAUAGACCAACUAUGCUGUUGGGGGCAUGAGCUCACCUUGAUUUGGGGAGGAUUGAAGGACAAAGCCUCUGUUUAUACAAAAUCUCAUUAAGAUAUCAGAGUCUCCCAUCCCGAGGGCAAGCACCAACGCCUAACACUAUUAAUGAUCUGGUUAUGCUUGCAGAUGGGAGCACGUUGUCCUCUGAGAGACUCCUCCCAGCAGCUGACUCAGACAGAUACAGCCACAGCCAAACAGUGGAUGGAGCUUGGGGACUCUUAUGGAAGAAUAGGAGGAAGGAUUGUGGGCCCAAAGGGGAUAGGAACCCCACAGGGAGACUAACGAGUCAGGUAGCAGCUCAUCUGGACCCUUGGGGCUCUCAGAGUCUGAACCACCCCCUAAAGAGCAUACAGGGACUGGACCUAAAUCAUGUAUGUAGCAGAAACACAGCUUGGUCUUCAUGGGGUCCCGAACACCUGGAAUGUGAGCCAUUCCCAAAGCUGUUGCCUGUCUCUGGGGUACGUUCUUCUAGCUGGGCUGCCUUGUCUGGCCUCAGUGGGAGAGGAAGCGCCUAGCCUUGCAGAGACUUGAAGUGCCAGGGUGGGGUGAGAUCCAGAUGCCCCCACCUACUUAGAGAAGGGGAGGUUAGAGGAAGGAUCAUGGGAGUGGGUGACUGGGAGAGGGACAGUGCUAUCCUGUGAACUCAACUGCCAAUUUCCAGAUAACGAAGAUGGGAGUUGCUCCAAAGAACCUUUCUAAACAGGUCCAUCCCACCUAACCCCCAAAUCCUUUCUUUUCCAUUACCUCUAGAGGGUGGUGGGCUACAAGGGAGGUUAAAGCAUUUAAAACCACCAUUAAAAAAUAAGGUUUGAAAAAAGAUAUAAAGUUACAGGGCAGUGAGUGGGAUGUAAAGUAAAUAAGUAAAAGAGUAAAAUUAAACUUAAAAUAAAAACUAUCAGGGGCUGGGGAUUUAGCUCAGUGGUAGAGUACUGGGUUUGGUCCUCAGCUAGAGGGGUGGGGGUGGGGUAUGGGAGCACCUCAACACUGUGGUGUAACAAUUCACCCACAGAUGUUAACUGCAGGAGUUUCCCCUUACUAUUUAGGACCUCCAAAAGGCACUUGGUUUGCUUGUGCCUGGGGACUAACUCCCUAUGUCAGUCCCUUUGUCCUCACUGAGACUUCUGACUGUUGCUUGCUUGUAAUCUAUGGCCUCAGAUGUACCAUUAUUCUAGAGAGGGAGGCUGGGGACACCUGGGACUUCUACACAGGUCCUGGAUGGCCAGGGCAGCCCCAGUACUAGUGCCUCUCUUAGUAUGCAUGGGCACAGCAGGGUCUGCCAGCAAGGGAGCAGCAGCACUUACUAAGGGAGAUCAAAAUUUCAUUGAUCAAAUUGAUCAAUACCUGUCAGAAAUACAAAAUGCCAACAAAGGCUGGUGUAAAAGUUUAUUUAACUGGUACCCCUGCCCUCAGACAAAAAUUAAGAGUCAACGAUUUGAACCUAAGGUACAGGUUCAAGGGGGAAAUGUUGAGGUCUGCUCCUUAACAUAACUGUGGCCAUUUUGUGUUCAGUCUCCAUUUUACUCAUAAGGUGAAAUUAAGUUCAGGAUCUCAGAUUCCACUUCCCAGAAGUAAUUAUCCAUAGCUGACACUGAAGAAUGUACUAAUAAACCAAAAAAUAUUAUUAUUAUACU
ensembl:lncRNA